UACGUAGGGCGCAAGCGUUAUCCGGAAUUAUUGGGCGUAAAGAGCUCGUAGGCGGUUUGUCGCGUCUGCCGUGAAAAUCCGGGGCUCAACUCCGGAUCUGCGGUGGGUACGGGCAGACUAGAGUGAUGUAGGGGAGACUGGAAUUCCUGGUGUAGCGGUGAAAUGCGCAGAUAUCAGGAGGAACACCGAUGGCGAAGGCAGGUCUCUGGGCAUUAACUGACGCUGAGGAGCGAAAGCAUGGGGGAGCGAACAGG
rnacentral:rRNA from 1 species